CUCCCUCAGUUCUUGGUGGCGCCAAUGUAGAACCUGAGCCCGAUGCCAUCUCUUAACUUGCCGCCGCUUGAGGGAUGCUGCGCUUCCGUCCAUCGCCUCGGGGUGCGAUUUCCGGCGAGACUGCCGUGUCUGGAUUUCAUUCGCCACCGUUGGCAGAUUCCGAGAAUCGGCGAAGUCGCCACAGCUCUGGUUCAGUGCGUCGUCAUUCCCGAUUUAGAGCUGGCAGUAGUCUCCCCCCUCCAACCUAAAGCUAAGUUUUAAACUUGCUUCUUCUUCUUUUCAUUGCAAUGAAGUAUCGAUACACAUAGAGGCUUAUUCGAGCAAGAGAAGUCAGAGCUUAAUUGUUCUAAAAGUGAGCAUGUUGUGGUUGUAUUUGUUCGUCUAUCAGUAAUAGUGGUGAGUUAAAGUGUUCCCCAUAUUCUGUGUCUGUGGAGUCUAUUGUUGUUCAUCGAAUACAUGAAUCAGAUGUAACAUAUCUCUAUAUCCCUAGAGUAAAGGCAGUGUAGUCUGCUGUUGCUACAUAAACUUAUGUGAAUAACUAAUCAUGCUCAUCUCCGAUUAGCAGCAUUCAUUAAAAAAAUCAUGCUAUGAUGAUGCGUGAAGCAUGUACAUGGAGAUAGUGAACUGGGAUAACGUAUAAUACCUUGAGGAUAUGGAUGUGGUGGCUGUUUGCUGCUGUGUUGAAUUAAAUGCAGGGGAUGGAAAUUGAAAUAGAGUAAUCUUGGUAACUACCUUAAUGAAUGAAGGUGAAAUUGUGGCAGGGAGUAUUAAAGUUCAAGGUGAAGCUUACCUCGAAAUAGCUUGGUGUUGGUUAUAUUAUCUGCUGCUGUAGUUGACUGAUCUUAAUUGGGGGUAACUGAAACAUAACAGUGGUUAUUCUUGCAUUAAUGCAGGUGAAAUCUUGGAGGAGUUGAAGAGAGUUAAAGAAGUUUACCUCAUUGGCAGAGAUGGAUGAAUGAUUUCCUCUCUUCUUCACGUGAGCUGUUAGAGUAUAAUGGAGAAGGAGUGUUAGGAGGUUGUUUGCUGAAAUGAUAGGUAAAAAGGGUUGAAGGCUGGCUGGAGCUUGAGUACCUACUAAAUGGUAGGGUGGCUGAUGUGAGUCCUAUGUGUACCUUGGGUAUGGCUGUUGUGGCAGAGGUGGAGUGCUUACUGCUGUUGCAGUUGCUGCAGAAAAUGGGGAGGGGACGCAACUGAUCUUAUUCUCCCCUCUCCCUUUAUUACUCCUUCCGUCCACCAAAAAAACUCCCAGUUGGAGUUCGGCAUGGAGACUAAAAUAGCUGAAAAAGGUGGUGUAAAAGACUAAAAGGAUAGUGUUUAUGUAUUGUGAUUACUUUUACUAAUCUUCCACUAACUAUUUGAUAAUAAUAAUAAUAAUAACAACAAUAAUAAUAAUAAUAACAAUAACAAUAACAAUAAUAAUAAUAAGGAUAAUAAUAAUAAUAAUAAUAACAAUAAUAAUAACAAUAACAAUAACAAUAAUAAGAAUAAGAAUAAUAAUAAUAACAAUAAUAAUAAUAAUAAUAACAACAAUAAUAAUAAUAAUAAUAAUAAUAAUAAUAAUAAUAAUAAUAACAACAACAAAAACAACAACAAUAAUAAUAAUCAUAAUAAUAAUAACAAUAACAAUAUUAUAAUAAUAAUAAUAAUAAUAAUAAUAAUAAUAACAACAAUAAUAAGAAUAAUAAGAAUAAGAAUAACAAUAAUAAGGAUAAUAAUAAGGAUAACGAUAAUAAUAAUAAUAAUAAUAACAAUAAUAAUAAUAAUAACAAUAACAAUAAUAAUAAUAAUAAUAAUAGUCGUAAAAAUAAUAAUAAUAAUAAUAAUAAUAAUAAUAAUAAUAAUAACAACAACAAUAACAAUAACAAUAAGGAUAAUAACAAUAAUUAAUUAAAUGAGAUUUUAUUAAAAAAGAGAAGAAAAAACAGACCUAAAACCCUUGAGAACACAGAGGAGUUAACUAAGGGCCGAGCCUCAUUAAAACCCUUUUAAGGCAAACCCAAACGGGAAAAUCCUUAAAAGGGAAAAAGAGUGCUCGUCUAGAAAAGACUGCGAGGGAGCGGAGAAGAGACAGCUUCAGAAGUUCCGGCCUAACCAUCACCCCUAAGCCGCUCGGCUCCCAAACGCAGCGAAAGCAAACAAACAAAAACGAAAAAAACAACAAAAAAACCCAGCAAAAGAGACAGAAAAAACCACACCGUUCCUCCAAACGAAAAAAACCAACGAAGCCCAAGAGAACUGGCCUAUCAAAACACGAAAACAGAGGGCCACCCAAACCCAGCAGAACAAUCCAGCCGUUCUUCAAGCAAAACGAACUCGGACGCAGAGUACGGCGACCCCGGCCGCGAACACCUGCUCUCAUGCCCAUUCUAGAACGCUCCUUGCAACAAGGAAGUCCAACGACAAACCUAGGAGAAAGAAAGUGAUAGAACACCAAGACUACCGUUCAUCAACGACCCAAACAACGGAGCCAUAAAAACUCGACGCCGACGCAACAACAACAACGCCGCGGAGCUUCCCAGACGAACCAAAACUCACAGCCCCAGUUCCGAGCUCACCCGGAAGCUGAAAAAAGGCCCUGAUCUUGGUCCCUAACCAACACCAACGACAAUCCAGCAAAAAACCCGCACAAAGAAACCAAUAAGUAAUAGGAACCCAAAGCGCCGACCAGAUGUUUGUGAAAAAUCCAAGCUUGUCAAAACAUAAAAGAUGCGGUCCCUCCAAGCAAAGACGCCAUCCCAGGAGGGAAUCAGCAUGAUUAUCAAAAGAAAAGGGUGAUAGAACACCAUGGCUCCCGUUCAUCAACGACCCGAACAACAGGACCAAAAACUCAACGCCGACGCAUCUGCUAGCAACGUCGCGGAGCUUCCAAAACGAACCAAAACUCAUAGCCCCAGCUCCGAGCUCACCCGGAAACUGAAAAAAGGCUAAGAGAUUAGUCCCUAAACCCCCGCCCCUGUCAAACCAUCUCAUACCCGCACAGAACUCCCAUCUUCUAUCAAACAACCAGAACGCAUACCAGGUGUUUGUGAAAGAGUCCAGGCAGCCAACGAGCAAGUAUAGCUUCUGCCACAUCCAAAGCCCAAUCAUCCGCGAAUGCGUAUAUGGCUGUGAGUGGCCAUGUCCGUCCUGACCGCUUUUUUGAUGGCCUCGACCUCGUGCGGCCACCACCCCUCCAUCAUGUUUUGAUUGGCCAUAAUGUCCGCAGGUUUGUUGCCUUCACGAUAGAUAUGCGUAACUUGAAGAUUAAAAUUUUGUAACAGACCAAGAGUAUACUUCCAAGAAGCAAAAAAACGCCAAGGCACGUUAGAAGAUCGAGAAUUCAAAACUUAUGUGAAUAACUAAUCAUGCUCAUCUCCGAUUAGCAGCAUUCAUUAAAAAAAUCAUGCUAUGAUGAUGCGUGAAGCAUGUACAUGGAGAUAGUGAACUGGGAUAACGUAUAAUACCUUGAGGAUAUGGAUGUGGUGGCUGUUUGCUGCUGUGUUGAAUUAAAUGCAGGGGAUGGAAAUUGAAAUAGAGUAAUCUUGGUAACUACCUUAAUGAAUGAAGGUGAAAUUGUGGCAGGGAGUAUUAAAGUUCAAGGUGAAGCUUACCUCGAAAUAGCUUGGUGUUGGUUAUAUUAUCUGCUGCUGUAGUUGACUGAUCUUAAUUGGGGGUAACUGAAACAUAACAGUGGUUAUUCUUGCAUUAAUGCAGGUGAAAUCUUGGAGGAGUUGAAGAGAGUUAAAGAAGUUUACCUCAUUGGCAGAGAUGGAUGAAUGAUUUCCUCUCUUCUUCACGUGAGCUGUUAGAGUAUAAUGGAGAAGGAGUGUUAGGAGGUUGUUUGCUGAAAUGAUAGGUAAAAAGGGUUGAAGGCUGGCUGGAGCUUGAGUACCUACUAAAUGGUAGGGUGGCUGAUGUCGAGUCCCUAUGUGUACCUUGGGGUAUGGCUGUUGUGGCAGAGGUGGAGUGCUUACUGCUGUUGCAGUUGCUGCAGAAAAUGGGGAGGGGACGCAACUGAUCUUAUUCUCCCCUCUCCCUUUAUUACUCCUUCCGUCCACCAAAAAAACUCCCAGUUGGAGUUCGGCAUGGAGACUAAAAAUAGCUGAAAAAGGUGGUGUAAAAGACUAAAAGGAUAGUGUUUAUGUAUUGUGAUUACUUUUACUAAUCUUCCACUAACUAUUUGAUAAUAAUAAUAAUAAUAACAACAACAAUAAUAAUAAUAACAACAAUAAUAAUAAUAAUAACAAUAACAAUAACAAUAAUAAUAAUAAGGAUAAUAAUAAUAAUAAUAAUAACAAUAAUAAUAACAAUAACAAUAACAAUAAUAAGAAUAAGAAUAAUAAUAAUAACA
rnacentral:lncRNA from 1 species